rnacentral:rRNA from 1 species
GACGAACGCUGGCGGCGUGCUUAACACAUGCAAGUCGAACGGAAAGGCCCUGCUUUUGUUGGGUGCUCGAGUGGCGAACGGGUGAGUAACACGUGAGUAACCUGCCCUUGACUUUGGGAUAACUUCAGGAAACUGGGGCUAAUACCGGAUAUGAGCUCCUGCUGCAUGGUGGUGGUUGGAAAGUUUCGGCGGUUGGGUAUGGACUCGCGGCUUAUCAGCUUGUUGGUGGGGUAGUGGCUUACCAAGGCUUUGACGGGUAGCCGGCCUGAGAGGGUGACCGGCCACAUUGGGACUGAGAUACGGCCCAGACUCCUACGGGAGGCAGCAGUGGGGAAUAUUGCACAAUGGGCGGAAGCCUGAUGCAGCAACGCCGCGUGCGGGAUGACGGCCUUCGGGUUGUAAACCGCUUUCGCCUGUGACGAAGCGUGAGUGACGGUAAUGGGUAAAGAAGCACCGGCUAACUACGUG